AACGAACGCUGGCGGCGUGGAUAAGACAUGCAAGUCGAACGGGAUUACUUCUGGUAGCAAUACCGGAGGUAAUUUAGUGGCGAACGGGUGCGUAACACGUGGGGAAUCUGCCGAGAAGUGGGGGAUAGCUCGUCGAAAGGACGAAUUAAUACCGCAUAUGAUCAGCCAAGACAUCUUGGCGACAUCAAAGCCGGGGCAACCUGGCGCUUCUUGAUGACCCCGCGGCCUACAGCUAGUUGGUGAGGUAACGGGCCCACCAAGGCUAUGACGGGUAGGCUGGUCUGAGAGGACGACCAGUCACACUGGAACUGAGACACGGUCCAGACACCUAC
rnacentral:rRNA from 1 species